rnacentral:lncRNA from 1 species
CUGAUUUCUCAUUGGAAAUUCGUGUAUUCCUCUAAAUGGACAAGGUUCAAGUCUGAUUGCUGUGGUGCUAUUUAAACACAGGUUUAAAUGCUUUGCUAAAUCAGAGUUUAUGUUGGUACCUUUUUUGGGAGUUGCACCAGUCAGGGAACCAACUUCUCUGAUCACUUUGAAUGCAGACACAUGACUGUUAGCUCUGCUGGGGUGAUAAGCACGUUAACCACUUGGGUGGAUGUUUACUUAAAACCAUCUGCUGAGCUAAUCUGUGUAACUAUCUGAAACUUCCUGAGGUCAGUCUUUUAAACAAGGAGAUUGGACAGAUGGUCAGCUUUACAAUGUGGGUGGAGCACCAUAGGUUUGAGGAAGCAGAUGUCAUUCCAAUAGAAGCUUGAAUUACCCACUUUCCUUGCAGUUGUUGGAUUGAUAAAGCUGUUGCAUCAGUUCCCAGUCAGUGCUCCUGGCGACUAUAUUAAUUCCUGCUGCUAGUACAGUAUAGAAUCAGAGACUCAACAUCAGGUUACAUGCAUUUGUACAAUAGUUUCACUGCUUAGCUUCCAACUACCAGCCCACAAACAGCAGCUGCUGCCCAUUCAGCUGAAUAAGUACAAUUAUUUUAGUGUGGACAGCUUUAGAUGCCUUCUAGACAACAUCUAGACUUUUCUCCUUAGUUUGCAGUGCUGUGACCAUGACUAUGAUAAGUUACUGUACCUUAUCUGCUACCUCCUUUAAUUCAUUAAAGAGAACCUCUGACCUGAAACCCUUCUGGAUGCUUUGCCUGGGUCCUUGGAGGGUACCAGAUAUUGAGCGUGGAAAUCCUCACAGAAAAGAACAGGCUGUGUUUGGAUGUUUUGGUUGCCUUUGAAAACCUUACAGAAAUGGGGGAGCCAAAUGGAAGGUAGUUAAAAUAUUUGCUUAGCAAUGAGGUUAUCAUAAACACAGAAAAUUAUGUUUACAUAAACACAGAAAAUUUCCAGUAAAAUUUGUUCUGAGCAAUUUCAUCAGACAGAUCUACCAGGUGGCUGUCAAAUAAUUGAUUUUUUACAUUGGAAGACAAAUAAAAUGUGGAAAUUCAGU